UGGGGAAUUUUGGACAAUGGGCGCAAGCCUGAUCCAGCAAUGCCGCGUGCAGGAUGAAGGCCUUCGGGUUGUAAACUGCUUUUGUACGGAGCGAAAAGGUCUGCCCUAAUACGGUGGGCUCAUGACGGUACCGUAAGAAUAAGCACCGGCUAACUACGUGCCAGCAGCCGCGGUAAUACGUAGGGUGCGAGCGCUAAUCGGAAUUACUGGGCGUAAAGCGUGCGCAGGCGGUUAUAUAAGACAGUUGUGAAAUCCCCGGGCUCAACCUGGGACCUGCAUUUGUGACUGUGUAGCUAGAGUACGGUAGAGGGGGAUGGAAUUCCGUGUGUAGCAGUGAAAUGCGUAGAUAUGCGGAGGAACACCGAUGGCGAAGGCAAUCCCCUGGGCCUGUACUGACGCUCAUGCACGAAAGCGUGGGGAGCAAACA
rnacentral:rRNA from 1 species